rnacentral:rRNA from 1 species
UUUUAAAUUGAGAGUUUGAUCCUGGCUCAGGACGAACGCUGGCGGCGUGCCUAACACAUGCAAGUCGAGCGAUGAAACUUCCUUCGGGAAGUGGAUUAGCGGCGGACGGGGGAGUAACACGUGGGUAACCUGCCUCAAAGAGUGGGAUAGCCUCCCGAAAGGGAGAUUAAUACCGCAUAACAUUAUUUUAUGGCAUCAUAAAAUAAUCAAAGGAGCAAUCCGCUUUGAGAUGGACCCGCGGCGCAUUAGCUAGUUGGUGAGGUAACGGCUCACCAAGGCAACGAUGCGUAGCCGACCUGAGAGGGUGAUCGGCCACAUUGGAACUGAGAUACGGUCCAGACUCCUACGGGAGGCAGCAGUGGGGAAUAUUGCGCAAUGGGGGAAACCCUGACGCAGCAACGCCGCGGGAGUGAUGAAGGUUUUCGGAUCGUAAAACUCUGUCUUUAGGGACGAUAAUGACGGUACCUAAGGAGGAAGCCAC